CUUCUCCUAUAGCUUUAUUAGUCGACAUGUAUCGUUGGUGUUGCACGUUACUAUUGUUUAGCUCAAAUCCAUGGGUAUGCAUGUUUUAGACAUAUAAACUAAAUUUGGAGCAUGUUAUUAGUUAUUAUUAAUUAUACAUGUUGGACUUGGAUUUGACAUAGGAGAAAACUAGCGUUCGGGACCUAUGAUAUGUUAAACUACCUGAUUUAGCCUUAGGGGCCGUUGUACUUUUAUACUGUUGCAGUAUCCUUGUGGUGAGUACCCCAGGUAGUUCAGUUUACUGUUACGCUCGUGCUAGGAUGCUGAGCCUAUUUUUACAACAGUGUUUACACUGUUCCGGAUUAGUGGGUGCCGUAGUGGUUGACGGCGGACCCGAAUUUAAUUGUUUUGAUAUCAGAUUAUGCCGAGGGCACGUGAGUAGUGGUUGAUAGUCCAGCUAGAUCCUAUUUACUUGACCUGAGCCUGUGAGAGCCAGAAUGAAAUGACAGAGACAUUUGUAACUCGUGGGUCGCACUCGCGAAUGCCAUUCCGGAAUGAGGUUUCAGUGCGAUGAGUGUCGCAGUUUCUGUUGGAUAGUUCUUAUGCCGGCCACCCCCGGGGUGGUGUACGGCGUAGUGAGAUACAGGCAGGGUGGGCCCGUUUGGGCAGGCCGGGUGAGAUAGUGAGUGACUUUUACUUGGUUAGUGUAGAGCAUGCUAGUGUAGCAAUAUGUGGCUGUAGAUUGCUUUCCAGCUUUUUCCUACUAGCUUUGUUUCUUUCUGUAGACUUAGUGGGUGGACCGAUGAUGUUGAGGGCGAUACCCACUGAGAAUUACUUGUUUUUACAGUAGUUCUCACGCCCAGUUGUUAACACUGUUUUGCAGAGCCAUCGUCUUCAGCUGCUGCUGCUGUUGCCGAUUCUGAUCGUGGCAAGGGCGUCCCGAGUUAGAGCCCUACCAGACGAGUCGCUGUGAUAGAGGAGCACUUGCUGCAGGUAGUUGUACUUUUAUUAUUUUUGAGUUUAUGUACGUACUGAUGUAUAACUCGCUGGAGCGAGUACUUUUGUACAGAGUUUUCUUGUAUGUAUAUGAGACUUAUUUUGUUCUACCUGUUUAGUUUCUUUACAGCUCUAUACUACUGGUUGUAGUAUUGUAUGUAUUACAGUUCUAGCUACGCUUCGUAUACAGAAAAAAUUCUUUGUAUACGGCGGAUUUGUCGGCGUGUCCGGGGAACGUGUUAAUCCGGGGCGUGACAGAUUAAGCUGGUAUCAGAGCUUAGCAUUAGGUCAUUGGGACCUAGAAAACCUAAGUUUGGCAAAUCCCAUGAGGGCAAGACGUGAGAGGCGUGAUUUAUUGCGAAAGUCAAUGAUUAACUAUUUUAACUCAUCCUUGAGAAAAGUGAGUGACUGGAGGAGUGCCUGUUUUGGCCUGCAAAAUUAUGUUGGCUGCAGACGACAUAAUUUUGAGGAGAAAUAGGUGCCGCCUUCUGGACUUUCGUUGAUUGGGUCGAGAGUGUUUGUGGUUAUCUGACUUUGUUUUAUUCUUUGCAGCUAUGUAUCGUCGCCGAGGCCGACCGUUGUUGCGGGAGCGUGCACAGCUGGCGCAGGAUCGUGCCAGAUCUCCCGAGAUACCAGUACAGGUGGAGCAGAGUGCCCGACUAGAGGCGAGUGCACCGCUUGUUGCAGAGCAGAGUGCCCGACCGGAGACGAGCACACCUCUUGACUUGAGCGCACAGUUGGCUGCCUUGACUGAGGUGACGAGGCGGCAGAGCGAGUUGUUGGAGAGAAUGUACGAGAGGUUGGCUCCACCCUAGAGCACAGUACCAGAGCAGCCAGUUCCACCUCCGUCUAUACCAGCAGCAGUACUCCCGGCAGUGGCAAUUCCUUUAGCGCCAGUUGCACCUGUUGGUGAGGCACCAUAGUUGACCGAGGCUAAGCAGGAGCAGAUGGCUGAGAGACUUGCUCAUUUUCAUCAUUUUGAUCCACCAACCUUCGACGGUAGAUGUUCAGAGGCCUGGGUAGUUGAGGACUGGGUCAGCACGAUGGAGAAGUUAUUUGAGGAUCUUUUCAUCCCAGAGCGGGAGCAGGUACAUCUGGGCGUUCACUGUUUGACUGGGGAUGCCCUUGCUUGGUGGCGGAGAAUGAGACAAGAUUACAGGUUGGUGACUCUACAAAUGAGAUGGGACGAGUUCUGUGGAAUGUUGCAUGGGAUGUAUUUUUCCAACAGUGUGAAACAGAAGCUCGAGGUGGACUUGAAGAGGAUCCAGCAGGGAGAUCGAUCAGUGCAGGAUUAUAUUCGGGAGUUCACUCGACUCCUGAAUUGUGUGCCGUUUGUGGAUAGGGACGAGGCGCACAGGGUGUAUCUGUUUGAGCGGGUUUGAGACCCGAGAUUUUCAGGUUCAUGCAUGCGCAGAGGUUGAGGACCUUGGACGGGUCGAUAGAGCAGGCUCUUUGGGUUGAGAGAGGUGAUGCAUCUAAUCGGGAGAGGACGCAGGCAGUGGGGCAGAGUCAGGAUAGGAAGUGCCCAGCUCCAGAUGAUGGUGGACAAUCGAGCAGCCGGCGUCCGCCGAGACCUCCACGAUCAUGUUCUCAGAGUCGUGGGUUCUCGGGGGUUAGCGUUCUGGGGGACCUCGGCAGCAGAGGCAGUCGCAGGGGUCAAUGCAGUGUGUGAUUUGCGGGGGAUCACACUGGGCCCGACAGUACGAGCAGCGUGAGGGUCGUUGUUUUGGAUGCGUACAGUCAGGGCACAUGAGGUCAACUUGUCCCCGAGUGGUAUCACCAGCACCAUCGACCGCUUCAGCAUCACCAACACCUCAGCAGUCUUAUGGAGCACCACCGCAGAGCUACCGCCGGGAGGAUAGGGUAUCUGCACCGCGUCAGGGUGAGCGGCGACAGCAGGCUCCGAGCGGCAGGGUUUAUGCAGCCCAGGUGGAGGACUCUACAGCAGCCGACAGAGUAGUGGCAGGUAUUGUUCUAAUUUCUGGUAUUCGAGCUCGUACUCUUUUCGAUACCGGUGCAUCGCAUUCUUUUGUUAGCCGAGCAUUUGCUCUGUUGCAUGGUCUAGAGUUAGGAGCUUUGUUACAAGCACUAGAAGUGCAGAUCUCCGACCAUGUGUUACAGGUUGCAGAGUGUUGUUGGUCGUGCCCGGUGCAGUUGGAUUCAUGGAUCCUGCCCGCAGACCUGUUGGUUUUAGGGCAGCUGCAGGACUUCGACGUUGUGCUCGGUAUGGAUUUGUUGGCACGGUAUUAUGCUACUAUCGACUGUGGAGCGAGGUCUGUGACGUUCUGCGAGCCAGGCCAGGAGGAGUUCACUUUUAGAGGCUGUAGGAGUAUUUUGUUUGCCACUUGGAUAUUUUCGGCGAGGGCUUGACAGCUGAUGAGUAGAGGAUGCGUUGCUUUUCUGGCGACUGUGACAGAGGUGCCUACGGCGGCGCUGGGACUCGAGGAUAUCCCUAUAGUCCGUGAGUUUCCGGACGUGUUUCCCUCGGAGUUGACGACGUUGCCGCCGGAGAGGGAGAUAGAGUUUGUGAUUGAUGUAGUUUCUGGAACUGCACCAAUCUCAAAGGCACCUUACAGGAUGGCACCGGCGGAGCUGAGAGAGCUAAAGGCGCAGCUUCAGGAUUUGAUGGAUAAGAGGUUUGUGAGACCCAGUGUGUCACCUUGGGAAGCGCCGGUGUUGUUUGUAAAAAAGAAGGAUAGUUCGCUCAGGUUGCGCGUGGAUUACCGGGAGCUGAAUAAGGUGACUAUCAAGAAUAAGUACCCUUUGUCGCGCAUUGAUGAUCUAUUUGAUCAGCUGCAAGGAUCUUAUGUCUUCUCGAAAAUUGACCUCCAGUCAGGUUACCACCAGUUGAGGGUGAGGGCCGAGGAUGUCCCCAAGAUGGCUUUUGGGACUCGAUAUGGGCAUUAUGAGUUUACGGUGAUGCCGUUUGGAUUGACGAAUGCCCCUGCCGCAUUCAUGGAUUUGAUGAACAGGGUGUUCAAGCCGUUCUUGGAUAGAUUUGUGGUGGUUUUCAUCGAUGAUAUUCUGAUUUACUUCUGUAGUGAUGUUGAGCAUGAGGAGCAUUUGAAGAUUGUGCUACAGCUUCUGCGAGAGAAGAAGCUAUAUGCCAAGUUAAAGAAGUGUGAGUUCUGGCGGGAGGUAGCUUUCUUGGACCACGAAAUUUCUGCAGAGGGAGUAGCAGUGGACCCGAAGAAAAUUGAUGCUAUUCGGGAUUGGCCCAGACCGACGACGGUGACAAAGGUGAGGAGUUUCCUUGGACUUGCAGGUUAUUAUCGUCAAUUUGUGGAAGGCUUUGCGAAGCUUUCCACACCACUCACUCGACUGACUCGUAAAGGAAUUAAGUUUAUCUGGAGUGAGGAUUGCCAAAGGAGCUUCGAUGAGUUGAGACAGAGGUUGACGUCAGCUCUUAUCCUUGCCCUUCCAGUGAUGGGGGAAGGAUUUGUGAUUUACAGUGAUGCAUCGCACAGUGAUUUGGGCUGUGUGUUGAUGCAGCAUGGUAGGGUAAUUGCUUAUACUUCACGACAGUUAAAGGAUUACGAGAAGAAUUACCCUACGCAUGACUUAGAGCUUGCUGUGGUAGUCUUUGCUUUAAAGUUGUGGCGGCAUUACUUGUAUGGCGAGCACUGCGAGAUUUUCACCGAUCAUAAAAGUCUCAAGUAUCUGUUCACCUAGAGGGAGUUGAAUCUGAGGCAACGCCGGUGGUUGGAGUUACUGAAGGAUUAUGACAUUAGUAUUCAGUAUCAUUCCGGUAAGGCGAAUGUAGUGGCAGAUGUGUUGAGCAGGAAGGCAGUGUAGAGCUUGAGUUUGUUGAUCACUCAUCAGAAGCCAUUACGUGAAGAGUUGUAGCGGCUGAGGCUCGAGGUGGUGUCCCCUGGAUUUACUGUGAGACUGAUGUCUAUGGUCUUGCAGCCUACUCUGUUAGACAGGAUCCGGGAGAAACAAAGUGGAGAUCCACACUUGUCGAGGAUUCGAGAGCAGCUAGAUAGGAGGCAGGCUGAUGGUUUUGCUGUGGACGGUUCGGGAGUACUGCGGUACAGGGACCGAUUGUGUGUGCCUGUGGAUUCAGAGAUCCGAGAGGACAUUUUGAGGGAGGCUCAUUGUUCACCUUAUACGGUUCACCCUGGAGGAACUAAGAUGUAUAAGAAUUUGAAGGUACAGUUCUGGUGGAACGGAAUGAAGAGGGACAUUGGCAGAUUUGUAGCUCACUGUCUAACUUGCCAACGGGUAAAGGCCGAGCAUCAGGUACCUGCUGGCAAGCUUCAAAGUCUGUAAGUGCCCAAAUGGAAGUGGGAGCAGAUCAUGAUGGAUUUCGUCAUAGGGUUAUCUAGAGCACAGGGUGGCUACGAUGCUAGUUGGGUGAUAGUGGACAGACUAACUAAGUCUGCUCACUUCCUACCAGUUCAGACCACCUGGUCCAGAGAGAGACUCGCACAGGUAUACCUGGAUGAGAUUGUGAGGCUGCAUGGUAUACCAGUGUCGAUUGUAUCAGACAGGGACACGGGAUUUGUUUCGCAUUUCUGGAGGAGUUUGCAGACAGCCUUGGGUACACAGCUGCAUUUCAGCACGACAUUUCACCCACAGACAUAUGGUCAGUCAGAGCGGACCAUUCAGACUCUGGAGAACAUGCUGAGGGCAUGCAUCCUAGAUUUUGGAGGAGGGUGGUAUCGAUAUUUGAGGUUGGUUGAGUUUGCGUACAACAACAGCUAUCAAACGAGCAUUCAAGUGGCUCCGUUUGAGGUGUUGUAUGGACGCAAGUGUCGAUCCCCUUUAUUUUGGAAUGAUGUGGGUGAGAGGAAGACAGUUUGGCCUGAAAUUUUGCUAGAGGCUGAGAAAAAGGUGAGAGUUGUUCGACAACACCUUUUGACAGCCCAGAGUCGCCAGAGGAGCUAUACCGAUACCAGGAGACGAGACUUGGAGUUUUAGGUUGGAGAUCAUGUAUUUCUUAAAGUCUCGUAGUCCAGAGGGAUUCGCAGAUUUGGAGUGCGUGGAAAGCUCAGUCUACGUUUCGUUGGCCCUUUUGAGGUAUUGGAGCGAGUUGGACUAGUUGCUUACAGGAUUGCUUUACCUCCCCGACUAGCUGGUAUUCACGAUGUGUUCCACGCCUCGGCAUUGAGGAGAUAUGUUUUCGAUCCUUCUCACAUAAUUGACUUCACUCCACUAGAGAUUGGCGAGGAUUUGAGAUAUGAGGAGCGACCGGUGCGAAUUCUUACUCGUGAGACGAAAGAAUUGCGCAACCCGGUUAUCUCGUAUGUAAAAGUGCAGUGGAGUAAUCACGAGGAGCGAGAGACGAUUUGGGAGCCAGAGAUGGUGAUGAGGGAGUCCUACCCCGACCUGUUCGAUACCCCGUGUUGAGGUAUGUGUUAAGUUUCGAGGACGAAACUUUUUGUAGUAGGGGAGGAUGUAGUAUCCUUAAUUUUUUUUAUUCUUUAAUUUUUUUGUUGUUUUUGAGUUGGUAGACUAGGUAGUGGAUAAGGAUGCCAUGUGCAACUUUAACCUCAUGCAUCCUUAUCAAUUUAGUUUAACUGAGGUGUACAUUUUUUUAUUUACUCUCUCUCUCUCUCUAGUUCUUGAGCUAUACGUAGAGGAGGAGCUCGGGUGGUGUGGAGUGUCGUCGACGUCGCGCCGCGGUACCGUUCGAGCGUGUGUUUGUCGUCGUAGCAUCGCGAGGAGGCCGGGCGAGGGUUCGAUUCUGCCGUUUUCGAUGUCGCGCCGGAUUGUGAUUUGCGUUUGAGGUGGGUUUAUCAUCAGAUUCCUUCUCCUAUAGCUUUAUUAGUCGACAUGUAUCGUUGGUGUUGCACGUUACUAUUGUUUAGCUCAAAUCCAUGGGUAUGCAUGUUUUAGACAUAUAAACUAAAUUUGGAGCAUGUUAUUAGUUAUUAUUAAUUAUACAUGUUGGACUUGGAUUUGACAUAGGAGAAAACUAGCGUUCGAGAGCUGUCAUAUGUUAAACUACCUAAUUUAGUCUUAGGGGCCGUUGUAUUUUUAUACUGUCGCAGUAUCUUUGUGGUGAGUACCCUAGGUAGUUCAGUUUACUGUUACGCUCGUGCUAGGAUGUUGAGCCUAUUUUUACAGCAGUGUUUACACUGUUCUGGACUAGUGGGUGCCGUAGUGGUUGACGGCUGACCCGGAUUUAAUUGUUUUGAUAUCAGAUUGUGCCGAGGGCACGUGAGUAGUGGUUGAUAGUCCAGCUAGAUCCUAUUUACUUGACCUGAGCCUGUGAGAGCCAGAAUGAAAUGACAGAGACAUUUGUAACUCGUGGGUCGCACCCGCGAAUGCCAUUCCGGAAUGAGGUUUCGGUGCGAUGAGUGUCGCAGUUUCUGUUGGAUAGUUCUUGAGCCGGCCAACCCCGGGGUGGUGUACGGCGUAGUGAGAUACAGGCAGGGUGGGCCCGUUUGGGCAGCCCGGGUGAGAUAGUGAGUGACUUUUACUUGGUUAGUGUAGAGCAUGCUAGUGUAGCAAUAUGUGGCUGUAGAUUGCUUUUCAGCAUUUUCCUACUAGCUCUGUUUCUUUCUGUAGACUUAGUGG
rnacentral:lncRNA from 1 species